rnacentral:lncRNA from 1 species
AUUGCUAAUGGCAUUAACCUACAUGCAAAAAUGAAUCGGACUGUACUUAUUCAGCUGGAGGAGCUUGCUGGUCUUCAAUAUCUUAACCAUCAAAAGAAAAAGCUUCUAGCUUUUCCAUAGUGGAGGUUUGAACUUUAAUCUUCUUUUUUGGCGGUAUUCCGUGUUGUCCCACUGGAUGUGCCAAAAAUUAUUUCUCUAUUUUCAUGGCCGAAGUCCAUAAAAAAUCAAUAAAUUGAUAGUGCGAAAAAAAAUGUGCGGCAUACCACCUAGCAGGGCUAGAAACUCGAAGAGGACGAUUAGAUUUAGAAUUGCCUUAAAAUUUUAAGGACUUUUAGAUUAUAAAACUACCGUCUACUCUUAAGAAAAAUACUAUAAAAUAUGAUUCAAAAGAUAAAGUAACAUAUAGAUAAAAUAGAGUUUUCAUUGAUCUAAAAUAUCUUUCUUCUAUAGUUACAUCUACUUUAAAUAAAUUUUAUAAUACUGUUACAACUCAACUUAUCCACUUUUUUAUAAUUGCCUCUCUUUAAAAUGGUUCACAGUAUCAUUCAAAUCCAGCAGUUCCGUACCCUUUACAUGUUAGCCUUUUUUAUCGGACCCCCAUAGUUUGGUCCACUAAAUUCGAAUAACUUGUGGGUAUAAAUUUAUGAUGCAAACAAUAAUUCAAACUGAUCUGGAUCUGAUAUACUGUUAAAACACAAAUCCUUUUGAGCUUCUAAAUCAUGAUUUAAGAUUUAUGUAAGCAUUGCCUUUAACAUAAAGAUACACUUAAAAUUAUUUUUAUAUCUACAUCUAUUUUGAUAGUAAUAUCAUUUAUUAUCUAUUUUAUGUGAUUAAUAGUAGUUGAUUAUAUGGUAAUUAAAAUAUAAUCGACUAUACUUGAUCUGGAUCCGAUUCGGAUUUAAUUCGGAACCAAAUUUUUUGGAUUGAGACCGGGUUAUGUAU